CUAAAGUAAAAGUACUCGAACAAACACAAGACAGCUCAUUUACCUAUCAAAACCCAGCUAAAUGUGCAGGCCAAGUCACUAUGUGGCCUUGGCAUCCAAAAUCUAGAAAACCUUCAUGGUUAUGGACACCUAUUUUUGUUAUGAGAAAUAUAAUAAAUAGGAAUUGGAACACUGUUUCGCGUUCAUAUGCAUUCACAAUCACGACAUUUCAUGAUAAUUGGACUCCAGAACAAAGAAUAACAGAUGAUUGUAAUCUUGUAGAAGAGGAAGGAAAAGAUCCCAUUAGAAUAUACAAAGAUGAUGAUCACAAAGUCUUAUUUGGGGCUUCAUUUAGUAUAUACACAUAUUCAUUGAACAUGUCAGAAUGGGACAUUACACGUACAUUCCCACAGUGUCAGGAAUAUACAGUAGGAAUACAACAAGAUUUCUAUUAUUGGUUAAAACAAGACACCACUUUCUCAAGACCAGUGAAUACACGAAGAAAACGUGAGUGGUAUAACACAGUAUUAGGUGGUUUAGGUGUAGGAGCAAGUGUGCUAAAUGG